GAUGAACGCUGGCGGCGUGCUUAACACAUGCAAGUCGAACGGAAAGGCUCCUGCUUGCAGGGGUACUCGAGUGGCGAACGGGUGAGUAACACGUGGGUGAUCUGCCCUGCACUUCGGGAUAAGCCUGGGAAACUGGGUCUAAUACCGGAUAGGACCACAUUUUGGAUGGUGUGGUGGAAAGUUUUUCGGUGUGGGAUGAGCUCGCGGCCUAUCAGCUUGUUGGUGGGGUAAUGGCCUACCAAGGCGGCGACGGGUAGCCGGCCUGAGAGGGUGUACGGCCACAUUGGGACUGAGAUACGGCCCAGACUCCUACGGGAGGCAGCAGUGGGGAAUAUUGCACAAUGGGCGCAAGCCUGAUGCAGCGACGCCGCGUGGGGGAUGACGGCCUUCGGGUUGUAAACUCCUUUCGCUAGGGACGAAGCGUUUUUGUGACGGUACCUGGAGAAGAAGCACCGGCUAACUACGUG
rnacentral:rRNA from 1 species